CUUGAAACUGUUAAUAUGCAAAGCAAUUUAAGUUUUCUGUGGUAGUUUGAACUUGCCUAGCUUUAGACUUCACAAUAAUGAUGUUAACUUUCAUACAAAGGUCAUGCCUUACUUGCCUACUGAUCCAUAGUACUAAUAUAGAGUUAAAUGUUCAACUUGAUGAAUCUUUUGAAAGCUCCACAGCAUCGUGCACUCACGGAUAAAAGGGCCUCUGGCCAUUGUGUCUCACUCAGUUUAUUGCAAUAUUGGCACGCUGGCAGAUUGCUUCAGCAAUGGCUCUUCAUAGUAAGGUUUUUUAUGAUAGCUUUUGUGCCAAAAAUUGUACUUGAACAUUACACAACCACCUGCUGAACAGCACAGAUACGGAUACGUGUAUCGGUAUCGGAAGGAUACGGAUACGUGGAUACGGCAAUUUCCUAAAAAACCCGAUACGCAGAUACGUUUACUAUUUAAAAAAUAAAAUUUAAAAAAUAAUAGUGCAGUUCUGAAUUUAAAAUUGACAACAAUAAAACACUGUAAUCAACUACUUAAGUGUAUUAUUAUUACACCACAGCUGGUUGGCUAAGCAAUUUCAUGGCUAAACUCAUCAAUAAGGGAGCAGAUCAUCCAUGAUUUCAUUGAUUUAUCCACCAAGUCAUAGGGGAAACAGCCCACCAUCUAUAGGGAAAAGAGCACUUGCACUGCUCAUAUUUGGAGACACCAUCUACUGCAUACAAGCAAUCAAGCAACAAGAAGUCACUAACUGCACUGCAGAAAGAGAAUAGAUCGAGAAUGUGGAGAUGAAGACGAAGUGGGGAGCAAAGAAAUCAAGAACGAGCGGACACGAACUGAAGAGGAAGAGGAAGAGGAGAUCGAGAACGAGUAAACUCACGGGAGUUCAUUGGAGCUAGAUCCAUGUCGCAGGGGCAGAAACCAGUCGCUGGCGGUCGGCGAGUAGGGACGGAGGCUCGUCACCGGCAGCUGGCGGGCUGGCGAGCAGGGAUGCGGCGUCGCUGCGCGGUGUUGCGGCGCGAGGCGCGAGUCGCAGGCGUGCGGCCGUGCGGGAGUGUGAGCAUCGGAGGCGUUGGACAGAGGGAUAAGGUUUGUCUAAUUGGGCUGGGCCGUAUCCACACACCAGAUACGUAUCAGCCGACGUAUCCAAAAUUCAUGAAAAAAAGAAAAAAUCGGAUACUUCACCGAUACGUAUCGGCGGCGUAUCGGAUACGUAUCCGUAUCCGAAACGUAUCGGAUACGCGAUACGCGCUGCCAGGGACGUAUCCGUGUAACGGAGACCACCUGCGAAUUCCAGUGACCGGUUUAGCUAAUGUGUCGAACCUGAAGUUGCUCUAUUAGGACGUAAAUUUUGCCGUGGAAGAUACUCUUCUAAAUUAGCUUAUUAAGUGUGAGCUUGAUUAUAGAUUAAUUGACACAUUUAGUUUUCCUUUGGCAGUUGGUGUACUUUUUUGAACGAUGAAAGUUAAAGCUUUCAGAAAACUGAAUUUUAUUUUCUACCUCAACAUUUUUUAUGGCUUCCUGUAUUUAGUUGAAAUGCUGAUCUGCUAGCAUUAACUUCAACUUUUUUUUGUAUUGUUCUUAUUUGUUAGUAUGUGUUGAACAUAAAAUCCUGUGUGUUCACUGAGUUAUGUCUUUAUGCUACAGAA
rnacentral:lncRNA from 1 species